AUGGCUCCUCCUCCACGCCCGAAGCCGGCUUCUGCGCCACCGUCGGCGGCGGCAGCCGCGGCCUCCCCAGCCCCGUCCGCCUCUCUCUCGGCCUCCUGCGCUCCACCAUGCUCGGCACCCCCAUCGUCAUCGGCGCCGGCUGCUGCUCCGGCCGCGCUGGGCGCGGAUACCAAUGGGCAGAGGAUGCUUCCUUGGCCAAGCCGAUGCCCGCGACCAGGCGGCUCCCCCGCGCCGGCAACGGCCCCUGCGGCCUCGUCGGACGCCGCCCCUCCAGCCACCUCCAAGCUCGUGGUGAAGCUGCGGCCGCCGCCCGCCGUCGUCCCCGGUGGUUCGACCCCAUUCGGCUUCUCCAGCAGCAUUCCAUCAAGUGAAGCAUCCAUUCUGGAACUGGAGUCCACGCCACAGUCUCUUCCGUGCGUCCACGCGAUUGCCGUUGGCAACGUCGUCCCGGCGACGACACCGGCUCUGCUCCAACAAUCUGCGCCACAAAUCCCGCGUCCGUCGCCGCCACACUCGCUCUCCCCCGAGCUUGCGACUACAGAUUCUUCGGCACCGCCACCCACCGCUGCUGCGCUGGCUGCGACUGCCCUUGCUUCCCGCAGGUCAGACCCGACCAUUGGGGGGCGGAAGGCAACAACAUCCUCGGACGUUGCGCCCACUGCUCUUGCGUCGCAGAUCAUUGCUGGAGGCGACCGAUUCGUCCCGCCUGUGCGCCCUGGUUGGGGGGAUUGGCGUGGAUGCUUUCGUCGGGAUGACGCACCUACCGUUGAGUGUUGUGCGGCCGCUCCGCCCGGGGAUGAGCUGGGGGGCUGGCAGCUCGUCUUGAAGGGGCGUCGUUCGGCGUCUCCUCCGGCUUUUCAUCGCCCUACCUUCAAUGCACGGCUGCCUCCUCCGACAUGGCUGGGAGAUAGAUGUUUCCGGUGUUUGUGUCGGGGUCAUCGAGCACACUCUUGCAGGGAUCCAAUCCAUUGCAGGAAUUGCCUCCGUUUCGGCCACAUUGCUCGCUUUUGUCGUGCGAAGCAACUCGUCGACGAGGCUAUGCCGCAACCAUGUGUUGCUCCACCGCCUGCAUCCGUCAUCCAAGCUGAUGUGCCAUUACAACCUGUCCUUGAGCAGCAGGCUGAGCUACUUUGCGUUGAGCUUCGCGAAUGCCUUGUGCGUGUUGAGAGUGUCUUGGCAAGGGCGAAGGUUGCUCUUGGUAAACUUCAGGUUGUGUCGAUUGGGUCUCUACUUCCCGAGCUUCAGGUUGGCUCUGCAGAUGGAGAGGAAGUCGACCUCUAUGGAGGGUUCUCUCCUCGUGCUAGACCCUGCUCUAUGGUGUCGACUGACGUUGGGGGUGAAGUGAUUGUUGAGGAUGUGGCUCCAAUUCUACAGAUUAUGCCUGAGUUGACAGUGCUAUGUGAGGAGUCCACUCCACCUCUUUCGGUGGCGAUUCCGAAGGAGAUGGGCUUGCUAGGGGCGUUGGCGGUGCCCAUGACACCCUCACCACCGCCCUUGGAGUCUAGCCAGACAGACUUUAUGGUGUGUGCAGGUUUGGAUGCCUCGGUCACGCGCUUGCCUGUGACCGUUGGGCACGUGGUGCCCCCAGGUGGAGAUGUUGUUGGGACAAAUACGUUGGCACCUUGUUCCGAUGCUCUCUUUGCAAAAGAGCUUUGCAGCUUGCUCUCUAGCUUGGAGGCGGCUAGCCCUGGGUCUGGUAAAGUGGUUGCAUGCAUCCUGACCGAAAAGUUUAACAAAGACAAGAUCAAAAAGGUGGAGAAGUCUCUCAAAAGCAAAAACAAGAAGAGUGAUGCCUUAGGGAAGGCGUCUGCGGCUGCUUAA
rnacentral:rRNA from 1 species